UACGUAGGGUGCAAGCGUUGUCCGGAAUUAUUGGGCGUAAAGAGCUCGUAGGCGGUUUGUUGCGUCGGCUGUGAAAUCCCGAGGCUCAACCUCGGGUCUGCAGUCGAUACGAGCAAACUAGAGUGUUGCAGGGGGAGACUGGAAUUCCUGGUGUAGCGGUGAAAUGCGCAGAUAUCAGGAGGAACACCAAUAGCGAAAGGGCAGCCUCGCUGGGGACGUUACUGACACUGAGGCGCGAAAAGCGUGGGGGAGCGAACAGG
rnacentral:rRNA from 1 species